AAAUUGAAGAGUUUGAUCAUGGCUCAGAUUGAACGCUGGCGGCAGGCCUAACACAUGCAAGUCGAACGGUAACAGAAAGCAGCUUGCUGCUUUGCUGACGAGUGGCGGACGGGUGAGUAAUGUCUGGGAAACUGCCUGAUGGAGGGGGAUAACUACUGGAAACGGUAGCUAAUACCGCAUAACGUCGCAAGACCAAAGAGGGGGACCUUCGGGCCUCUUGCCAUCGGAUGUGCCCAGAUGGGAUUAGCUUGUUGGUGGGGUAACGGCUCACCAAGGCGACGAUCCCUAGCUGGUCUGAGAGGAUGACCAGCCACACUGGAACUGAGACACGGUCCAG
rnacentral:rRNA from 1 species